rnacentral:rRNA from 1 species
AUGCCGAGGGAAAAGGGCAUGGCCCUUUGGGGUUUCUUCGACGGCAACGACGCCGGCGGCGGACCUGCGCCCGACAUGAACGGGUUCCCCUGCUACCCCGCCGCCGGCCCGGGCGCCCUCGCCUCCUCCUCCCUCUCGCCGCCUUCCUCCCUUGCCCCGGCCGCCGGCGUCGUGAAGGCGGAGGACGGCAGCCGGCCGAUGACACGCCACCUCCACGCCGUCUCCGGAGGCGAUGCCGGCGGCGGCGAGGACGACGAGGUCGCGCCAGAGCCUGGCCGCCACGGCAAGCGCAAGAGGCCCCCCAACGCGCGCCACACCCCUCGGCAGAUCCAGGAGCUCCAAGCGUUGUUCGAGCAAUGCCCCCACCCAGACGAGAAGCAGCGGGCGGCGCUGGGCAAGAGGGUCCGCCUCCAGCCGAGUCAGGUCAAGUUCUGGUUCCAGAACCGCCGCACGCAGUUGAAGAGGGAAUCUCUGAUGCACGAGAACCAGCUGUUGAUGGCGGAGAACGGCAAACUGCGCGCCGAGAACCUGUCCCUCCGGGUGGAGAUGGCGCAUCCAGUGUGUGGCGGCUGUGGCGGCCCGGUCCCGGCGAUGCUCGACGAGUCGCCGUCCCUGGAGGAGGACCUGCGCGUCCAGAACGCCACGCUCAAGAACGAGCUCAGCCGGCUCUGCGCUCUCGCUUCCGCGUUCCUUGGCAGGUCCAUUUCCUUCGUGGCGGCGCCACCAACGCCAGGCUCGCCAGUGGAGCGCAUUGGCUCAAUGCCGUCGGCCACCGUGGCCAACUCGACGGUCACCGAGUUCACGGGCAGCCCCUCCAGCCAAACAGUGGGAAUGGCGAUCACGCCCAUGGCGAAGGCUGGCAUCGACAGGUCCGUGUUCUUGGAGCUUGCGACGAGUGCAAUGGAUGAGCUUGUCAAGAUGGCGCAGAUGGACGAGCCGUUGUGGAUUCCAAAUGUACCCUUGCCUGGUUCCCUUGCCAAGGAGACGCUCAACCAUGAAGUGUACUUGAGGACCUUCUCACCAGCCAUAGGGGUCAAGCCCCCGGGGUUUGUAUCCGAGGCCUCUAGGGAGUCCGGCAUUGUAAGCAGUGACGGCAGCGUCGAGCUUGUGGAGACUCUGUUGGAUGAGAGACGGUGGUCCCGUUUUUUCUCGUGCAUAAUCGCCGAAUCGUCGACGACCGAGGAGAUCUCUACUGGAGCUGCAGGGAAUAGAGAUGGUGCAUUGCUGCUUAUGCAGGCAAAGCUGCAGGUUCUUUCACCUCUUGUCCCUGUUAGGGAGGUGGCAUUUCUCAGGUUCUGCAAACAGUUGGGUGAGGGUUUAUGGGCUGUAGUGGAUGUUUCCAUGGAUGGGUUGGGAAUGGAGCAAGGCCUAGCCGUGGCAUCCACCACUGCAAAUAUGAAGUGCCGGAGGCUGCCUUCUGGCUGUGUGGUGCAAGAUACCCCCAGUGGCUUCUGCAAGGUUACAUGGGUUGAACAUACAGUAUACGAUGAAUCCUCCGUGCACCAGCUCUACCGGCCUCUCCUUCGGUCUGGCCUUGCCCUUGGUGCAGGGCGGUGGCUUGCGACACUACAGCGCCAGUAUGACUGCUUGGAUGUUCUCAUGCCGAAGCAAGACUCGUCAGAUGCCAUGUUGGAAGGAUCACGGAGCUUGCUGAGGUUGGCAGAGAGGAUGAUGGACAACUUCUGUGCGGGGGUGAGCGCAUCUUCUGCUGAAUGGAGCAAACUGGAUGACGUCACGGGGAGCAUUGGGGAGGAUGUGCGUAUCAUGGCACGUAGGAGUGUGGAUGAACCUGGGGUGCCAGCUGGUGUGGUGCUGUGUGCUGCCACAUCGGUGUGGAUGCUUGUAACACCCAAACGGCUUUUCAACUUCCUGUGCAAUGAGAAAACCCGAGCUGAAUGGGACAUCCUAAGCAAGGGUGGCCCUAUGCAGGAGGUGACAAAAAUCUACAAGGGGCAACAGAAUGGCAAUGCCGUAUCUCUACUGAAGGCCACUGCCCCAAACACCCACCAGGACAGCAGCAUUCUGAUCCUACAGGAGACGUGCACAGAUGCAUCCGGCUCAAUGGUGGUGUACACCCCAGUGGACAUCCCAGCAAUGCGCCGUGUCAUGGGCGGAGAAGGCGACCCGGCAUCGAUCAUGCUCCUGCCAUCCGGUUUCGCCAUUCUGCCCGGCGGUCCAAGCAUGUCUGGCGACGACGGUCACAAGACAUGUGGCUCGCUGCUCACCGUGGCGUUCCAGAUACUCGGGAACAGGCAGCCCACCGGGAAGCUCACCGUGGAGUCGGUGCAGACCGUGGACAGCCUCAUCUCCUGCACCAUCAACAGGAUCAAGACGGCGCUGCGCUGCGACGCCUGA